rnacentral:rRNA from 1 species
GACGAACGCUGGCGGCGUGCUUAACACAUGCAAGUCGAGCGGAGCGGCGAACGGGUGAGUAACGCGUGUGUAACUGCCCCCCUCUCUGGGAUUACAGUUGGAAACGGGUGCCAAUACCGGCUAGUGGGGGAUGACUCGCGUCCUAUCAGCUUGUUGGUGGGGAAGUGGCUUACCAAGGCGACGACGGGUAGCCGGCCUGAGAGGGCGACCGGCCACAAGGGGCUGAGUUACGGCCCAAAGGCCUACGGGAGGCAGCAGGGGGGAAUAUUGCACAGUUGGGGAAACCCUGAUGCAGAAGCGCCGGGUGUGGGAUAACGGCCUUCGGGUUGUAAACCGCUUUCAGCCAAUACGCGGUAGUGGCAGAAGAAGCACCGGCUAACUACGUGCCAGCAGCCGCGGUAAUUC